UACGAAGGGGGCGAGCGUUGUUCGGAAUUACUGGGCGUAAAGGGCGCGCAGGCGGCCUUUGAAGUCAGAUGUGAAAGCCCUGGGCUCAACCUGGGAAUAGCAUUUGAUACUCAUGGGCUGGAGUGCGGGAGAGGAGAGUGGAAUUCCCAGUGUAGAGGUGAAAUUCGUAGAUAUUGGGAAGAACACCGGUGGCGAAGGCGGCGCUCUGGACCGAGACUGACGCUGAGGCGCGAAAGCGUGGGGAGCGAACAGG
rnacentral:rRNA from 1 species